rfam:Candidatus Marinimicrobia bacterium TMED144 62379, whole genome shotgun sequence.
AGGAGUGUAGCUCAAUUGGUAGAGCACCGGUCUCCAAAACCGGGGGUUGCAGGUUCAAGUCCUGUCACUCCUG